rnacentral:rRNA from 1 species
UACGGGGGGGGCAAGCGUUGUUCGGAAUUACUGGGCGUAAAGGGCUCGUAGGUGGCCAACUACGUCAUACGUGAAAUCCCUCGGCUUAACCGGGGAACUGCGUCUGAUACUGGAUGGCUUGAGUUUGGGAGAGGGAUGCGGAAUUCCAGGUGUAGCGGUGAAAUGCGUAGAUAUCUGGAGGAGCACCGGUGGCGAAGGCGGCAUCCUGGACCAAUACUGACACUGAGGAGCGAAAGCCAGGGGAGCAAACGGG